rnacentral:lncRNA from 1 species
UAUGUGAUAAUACACUGAUAUAUGAAGGACGUAUGCAUGUUUUAAAGGGCCAAGGAAAGAAGAUACUGAGCAAACUGCUGCUCUGGAAGUGGUCCCAAGUAAGAGGAGAAAUGACACAGGUGGCUCCUGCUUUGAAGAAGGGAAGAGAAAACAGAAUUCUGGGGGCAAGCUAAAAGGGAAACAACCGCGAGUGCAGUGGAUUGACUGAGAACUACCUGAUGUUCUGCAAUCCUGGAGGCUGUCCUGAGCGCUGAGUAGUCAUAUGCUGAAUGAUCGUCAGAACCUGCUGAACCCACUUCAAAGGAUAAACCAACAUCGAAGCGACAGCACUGGCUUGGAAACUGUGAGAUUCGACAUGAAUUCUCUGAUGGAAGAAAUCCAGUUGCAUUAUGUGAUAGCAACCAGAUCAUAUGGAAUGCCAAAAGAAGCAGAACUUGAUGAAAGAAGAAGAGGAAGAGAUGGAGGUGGAGCCCCUCUUCAUGGCUCACAGCCUUCCCCAAGAUAAGUCGGUAAUGAGACACGCAAAUUGCUGAUACCUUCGCCCUCACCAAUUCAACAAUUGUGGGAUUCUGAACUAUUAAUAAAAUGUAACAAAAUAUUCCA